rnacentral:tRNA from 1 species
GUCCUUGUAGUUCAAUGGAUAGAAUAGCGGUUUCCUAAACCGUUGAUUCGGGUUCGAUUCCCGACGGGGAUA